CAGUAGCCGCGGGAAUACGGAGGGUGCAAGCGUUAUCCGGAUUCACUGGGUUUAAAGGGUGUGUAGGCGGGUGUUUAAGUCAGUGGUGAAAUCUCCGGGCUCAACCCGGAAACUGCCAUUGAUACUAUUCAUCUUGAUUACUGUUGAGGUAGGCGGAAUAUAUCAUGUAGCGGUGAAAUGCAUAGAUAUGAUAUAGAACACCGAUUGCGAAGGCAGCUUACUAAACAGUUAUUGACGCUGAGGCACGAAAGCGUGGGGAUCAAACAGGAUUAGAUACCCCUGUAGUCCCUGUCUCUUAUAC
rnacentral:rRNA from 1 species